rnacentral:rRNA from 1 species
AACGAACGCUGGCGGCAGGCUUAACACAUGCAAGUCGAACGCACCUUUCGGGGUCAGUGGCAGACGGGUGAGUAACGGGUGGGAAUCUACCCGUCUCUACGGGAUAGCUACGGGAAACUGGAAUUAAUACCGUAUACGUCCUGAGGGAGAAAGAUUUAUCGUGGAAGGAUGAGCCAGCGUUGGAUUAGCUAGUUCGUGACGUAAAGGCCUACUCAGGCGACGAUGCAUAGCUGGUCUAAGAGGAUGAUCAGCCACAGUGGGACGACGCAACGGCCCAACCUCCUACAGGAGGGAGAAGUGGCGAAUGUUCGAAAGUGUGCGGAAGGAUGAACCUCCCAUGCUGCGUGAGUGAUGAAGGUCCGAGGUUUAUAAAUCUCUUUAAGUGGGCACGAUAAUAACGGUACCCACACAAGAAGCCCCGGCUAACUUCGUG